UUUUUUUUUUUCCUUUUUAAAAAGCUGGGCUCUAUAAACGUUUAUAAACUUCAAACGGUAAAAUUUUCAUUUUAUUAAGCAGAAAUGGAAAGUUGAGCUGAACCGCUUCCCCAGACUCAUAGAUAGUAGUGGGUGGGCAGGGCAUGCUCCUGCGUCCUUGCCACCUGUGCUUCAGGGUGUGAGAUAAGGCUGCGCUGUACAUAGAGUGAAACUGUCUUUAAAAUAAGUAGUGUUAAAAAAAAAAAAGAAGAAGAAGAAGAAGGGCGUGGUGGCACACGCCUUUAAUCCCAGCACUUGGGAGGCAGUGGCAGGCAGAUUUCUGAGUUCGAGGCCAGCCUGGUCUACAGAGUGAGUUCCAGGACAGCCAGGGAUACACAGAAAAACCCUGUCUCAAAAAACCAAAAAAAUAAAAUAAAUAUUGUUGGUUUUAUCUGACGAUCUGACACAGAUCUUUAGUAAGGGCUUGGAGGCUGAUUGUAAUUAGACUUGUAGCAAGUCAUUCAUAUUCAUUCUCUUUCUCUCUCCGACUCUUUCUCUCUCAUCUUAAGGACAUUAGGAAUAGUUGAUGUCCCUUAGCCCUUUUUUUUUCUUUAGCCCCCUGCGGUACUAGUAUUUCAGUUUCAGAAGGAUGGCAUACAUGCCGCUCUAAUUAAGUACAGAGUCCACCAGGGCACCUGCGCCUCCCCUGCUCUAUGGGGUGCGUAGGCCCUGACACCGAGCCCAGGUGUAAAUGUUCCCUAAGGUGCUGGCUUGGAUAUCCUUUUGCAGUAUGCUUUUUUAUGUUAGCACUAGUCCAAAAUUGAACUUAUUUCAGAGUCAGCUGUAUUGAUUAGAUGGAUAAAGCUAAGAACUUUCUAGAUUUACAGGAUAUAGAUUUAAGCAGAGACAGAACGUCAUCCUGUUUAACACCAGCUAUAAGAUAAGGUAGUUCUUUAAGAAGUUAGUCACGUAGUGUGGUGGCGCACGCCUUUAAUCCCAGCACUCCGGAGGCAGAGGCAGUCGGAUUUCUGAGUUCGAGGCCAGCCUGGUCUACAAAGUGGGUUCCAGGACAGCCAGGGUUAUACAGAGAAACCCUGUCUCAAAAAACCAAAAAAAAAAAAAAAAAAAAAAAAAAGAAAGAAACAUUCAGGC
rnacentral:lncRNA from 1 species